rnacentral:rRNA from 1 species
CAGGCUUAAUACAUGCAAGUCGAACGGUAAGGGCCUGAAGUGGCAACACGGAAGGUACACGAGUGGCGCACGGGUGCGUAACGCGUAUGCAACCUGCCUUAACCCGGGACAAAACAGCUGGAAACGGCUGCUAAUAUCCCAUGGCCACACGACGGGGCAUCCCGAUGUGUGUAAAGAUUCAUUGGUUAGGGAUGGGCAUGCGUAUUAUUAGGUAGUUGGCGGGGUAACGGCCCACCAAGCCGACGAUGAUUAGGGGUCCUGAGAGGGUUAUCCCCCACACUGGAACUGAGACACGGUCCAGACUCCUACGGGAGGCAGCAGUAGGGAAUAUUGGGCAAUGGGAGGAAUUCUGACCCAGCCAUGCCGCGUGGAAAAGGAAGACGGUCCUAUGGAUUGUAAACUUCUUUUGCCGCAGAGUAAAGUCGGCCACGUGUGGCCGUUUGAGAGUAUGCGGCGAAUAAGUAUCGGCUAACUCCGUGCCAGCCGCUGC